AGUGAACGCUGGCGGCAUGCCUAACACAUGCAAGUCGAACGGCAGCACAGUAAGAUCUUGCUCUUACGGGUGGCGAGUCGCGGACGUGUGAGGAAUAUAUCCUACUCUACUCUUUCGUGUGGGUUAACGUAGGUGAACCUACUCUCAUACCGGAUACGAUCUACGGGUGAAAGCAGUGGAUCUUCUGACCUUGUGCGAUUGAAUGAGCCGAUGUUGGAUUAGCUAGUUGGCGGGGUAAAGGCCCACCAAGUCGACGAUCCGUAGCUGGUCUGAGAGGAUGGUAGGCGACACUAGAACUGGAACACGGUCAAGACUACUACGGGAGGCAGCAGUGGGGAAUGUUGGGCAAUGGGCGGAAGCAUGAUCCAGCCAUACCGCGUGGGUGGCGGAGACGUUGGGGUUGUAAAGACCUUUUUUUGGGAGAGAAAAGCAGCAGGUUGAUACCACGCGGUUCUGACGGUACCCAAUAAAUAAGCACCGGCUAACUACGUG
rnacentral:rRNA from 1 species